CUUUCAGUGAGUGGUGACACAAUUUGGCUGUUGGAUCCCCCCACUCGAGAUGCUGAAGGCAUACCUGAUGCAUGUGGAGAUGGUGCCAGUGCAUCUAGGGCCCUUGAGUAGGACACAAUAUCUGCAGAUACAGAAAUGCUAGAGGAUAUCCGUUCAACUUACAAGCACCAUCUGCUCCUCACCACUGAAAACCAGAAACUCACUACAGAAUACAAAAAGCUCAAAAUAAAGAAGUUGAAGCUAGAAAUUAAGAAAUUGU